CGUAGGUUGCGAGCGUUGUCCGGAUUUACUGGGCGUAAAGCGCGCGCAGGCGGUUCCGAAAGUCGAGCGUGAAAGCUCCUGGCCCAACUGGGAGAGGCCGUUCGAAACUUCGGGACUUGAAGGCGGGAGAGGCAGAUGGAAUUUCCGGUGUAGCGGUAAAAUGCGUAGAUACCGGAAGGAACACCAGUGGCGAAAGCGAUCUGCUGGCCCGCCCUUGACGCUCAGGCGCGAAAGCUAGGGGAGCGACCGGGAUUAGAUACCCCGUUAGUCCUAGCUGUAAACAAUGGGCACUAGGUGUUGUCGGUAUCGACCCCAGCAGUGCCGAAGCUAACGCAUUAAGUGCCCCGCCUGGGGAGUACGACCGCAAGGUUA
rnacentral:rRNA from 1 species